AUCUUCUCUCCUCUUUAAUAAAAUCAAUAUUUCAAAAUCUCCAUUGAAAGAGGCUUGGAGCUUUGAAAAAAGGUGACUCUUCUCAAGGUAUUCUCAACUGAAUUGGCCUAAGGAGCGUUUGAAGAUGUGAUGCAAACAUGAAGACUUUCUUUCAAUUCAAACUCCAUGGUCGGAGGACAACACAGCUAGAAGGAUAAAUCAUGCAAUAUAUUUAGAUGAAGAGAUUUGGAAGAAAUUAAUUUAUGAUCUAAGAUAGUUAUUCUAAAGUUGGUCGACAGAAUCAAGGAGUUGAAAGGGGCAUUGUCAUUUUAUGAAAGUAGGGGGAAAUGAGCGAUGAAGAAGAAGGAGAAGAAGAGAAAAUAUUAUAAUUAAAAGUUCAUUGUCGUGAUUUUCAUGUAAUUUUUCUAUUUAUAU